UUCUAGCUCCUCUUCUCAUUAGUGAUGUAAUUCCCUCAGGAAUCUCCUCAUAAAGAAAGACAUCUGUUUCCAUUUUCUUCUUAGAGGAACAGGAUCUCUAUACAUCAUUGAAUAGAUUAGUGUCAUGAGUGUUAGCACUUUCCAUGAAGCACAAUCCCAAAGACCAUGAAAAAUUGAGAUCCGCAGAGGAGAGGAUGGAAAGUGUUUCCCCCACACCACAGGGUGUUUUACUGCUGCUGCUGCUGUUUAAGGCUACUCUACCACUUGCAAGCUGCUGUUUCUGACCUUCUGGAGUUUGGAGGAAGGAAGAAAAGAAAAAGAAGAAAAGAAAGUUUUUAUUUUACUGUUGCAUCUUUUCAACAAAGUUGACUCUCUCCCUACAAAGGAAAGUUUGUAUCAGCUACUGAGAAGACUUGGACUGGAACUUACUUCACCAGAUCUCAUGGUUCUUGGGCCUUCAGACUCAGGUUGGAACUAUGCUAUCAGCUUUCCUGGAUCUCCAGCUUGCUGACUACACAAUCUAGGACUUCUCAGCCUUUGUAAUUGUGAGGAACAAAUUGUUCUACAGAAAAUGAAGGAAACUCCAAAUGUUCAAGAGACUGGGGAUGAUAUAUGAAAGCUUUCACCAUUAGGAUAAAAAAGAGCAAGAAUAGCUCACAUACCAUGUGAACCACUUUUGGGAAUCAGAUGUGUACAUUCCAAAGUAAAAUGACUUCAGUGUAUAUAUACAAGGAUGAUAAAUGUCCUGCUGAGAACAGCGGCAAAACAACAAGAAGAACCACCGUAAAGCUCCUGCACAUACUUAUAUACUGAAUAGGACCAUGAAAAAGUGCUUAAGCUCAAACAGGAAUACUUCUAUGAUUAUGUGAAGAAGCCUGGGCUAGCCUGCUGAAGGAUGAAGGACCAUGUAGAAAGCAGCCUCAGCUAUUCCAGUUGAGUCACCAGACGUGUGAAUGAGAUGAUCCUAUACAUCAGCCUCAGCUUAGUUGCCUUUGCCAGAAUUUCUCAACCAAACCUAAGUAUUAUGAAAAGUAAUAAUUAUUUGUUAAAUUUGGCCAAUACAUAGUACAUCUUGGGGUGGAUUGUUACCAGUUAGCCAACACUAAGUGGUAUACCAUGUCAUGCUAUACUUAUUUCUUUUCCUUAGGAAAUUGACAAAGUGUUUUACUGAUGUUAACUUGGAAUGCAUUUAAAGACAAAAAAAGGAAAACCUUAAUCCAACAUUGACAUUUCAUUCCUGCAUCUUUAAUGGUUUGAUCAGAAUAAUCAGUGACUCAUAAUUAUAAUGGAUGCAUAAGUGGGCACAUUUUGAUAUUAAAAAAGUGAGGUAAUAUACACAUUACUAAAUAUGAUAAUGCUAGUGAUUUUCCUACUCAACUUAUGUUUAAGGACAUGUCACCAAUAGUGGUAUUCAACUUCAUUUGAAAUUCAAAACAUUAAAGUUAAUUUUUAAACAUUUUUAUUGAGUUGAAGCUAGAGAGUUGAAGAAAAAAUAAGAAAAUUAAGAUUUCACUUCAUAUACAUGUAAUGGAUGUAUUUUGUGGUAAUGCAGUUUUAGUGUUUAGACCACUAUGAAACUAGUAAGAUAGUGGUUUUAAGUGUUGAUCUAGUUAUUUUGAACCUAUAGCUUUGAAAAUGCAUGAAGCUCAUUUUAACAUAAAAUAUAUGGUUUUAAGAUGAAUUCUUCCUCAUAUUGCAUUCUUUCCUCCCUCUACCAGUUUCCUCUCUAUAGGUAUUUGUAUAUAUAUUGACUCUUAGACAAAUUGAGUAGAUAUUAUAUCUGAGUCAACAAAUGUGUAUAUAGACACAUGAACACUAAGAAAGGGCAUUAACAUUUCUAAAAUACGUCAGAUGUACUGACAUAA
rnacentral:lncRNA from 1 species